GUCCACGCUGUAAACGAUGGGUGCUAGGUGUGGGAGGUGUCGACUCCUCCCGUGCCGAAGCUAACGCAUUAAGCACCCCGCCUGGGGAGUACGGCCGCAAGGCUAAAACUCAAAGGAAUUGACGGGGGCCCCGCACAAGCAGCGGAGCAUGUGGUUUAAUUCGACGCGACGCGAAGAACCUUACCAAGGCUUGACAUGCACGGGAAUGUCCGGAGAAAUUCGGCAGCCCUUCGGGGCUCGUGCACAGGUGGUGCAUGGCUGUCGU
rnacentral:rRNA from 1 species